AUUGAACGCUGGCGGCAUGCUUUACACAUGCAAGUCGAACGGCAGCGCGGGCUUCGGCCUGGCGGCGAGUGGCGAACGGGUGAGUAAUACAUCGGAACGUGCCCAGUAGUGGGGGAUAGCUCGGCGAAAGCCGGAUUAAUACCGCAUACGACCUGAGGGUGAAAGCGGGGGAUCUUCGGACCUCGUGCUAUUGGAGCGGCCGAUGGCAGAUUAGCUAGUUGGUGGGGUAAAGGCCUACCAAGGCGACGAUCUGUAGCUGGUCUGAGAGGACGACCAGCCACACUGGGACUGAGACACGGCCCAGACGCCUACGGGAGGCAGCAGUGGGGAAUUUUGGACAAAGGGCGAAAGCCUGAUCCAGCAAGGCCGCGUGUGUGAUGAAGGCCUUCGGGUUGUAAAGCACUUUUGGCGGGAACGAAAAGGACUGUGCCAAUACCACGGUUCGAUGACGGUACCCGCAGAAUAAGCACCGGCUAACUACGUG
rnacentral:rRNA from 1 species